AUCUGGGCGGCGGAAUUCAGGAUGACGGGGGCGUCUUCGCGACGUUCUCGUCGUUUGAUAUUUCCGUCGCCGAUCACACGCAGACGUCGCGACCUGUUCGCGGUCGGUCCCUGCUUCGGAGGAGCCGCGUUCGAGUUCGUUGUGGACGUGUUUCGGCGCGUUUCACGGCGAAGGCGUGGAUCUCUGGCUGGCCGUCGGACAGUACGUAUAACGGUGUCCGGUGUCGUCGUCUUCGUACGCGCGCUCACCGGUACCGGUCAGCGACGAAUUCUUCGGGCCUCUUUCCGACCCGUCUUGAAACACGGACCAAGGAGUCUAACAUGCGCGCGAGUCGCGGGGUGUCGAGCGUACUUCGGUGCGUUCGUUAUGUUGCGAAACCCGUACAUGUCGAAGGCGUAAUGAAAGUGAAUGGGGAAGAUGGUGUUCCGAGUACACGUUCCGCGAUCGACGGUAUCGCGGCCGGACACCCGCAUUCCCGGGGCGUCUCAACGGCCCGUCGCGGAUGUCGGUCGUCGUCUCUUGGGGCGGCGACCAGUCUGCGACGAACCGA
rnacentral:rRNA from 1 species